rnacentral:rRNA from 1 species
CUUGAACGCUGGCGGCAGGCCUACCACAUGCAAGUCGAACGAGUGGCGGACGGGUGAGUAAUGUCUGUGAAACUGCCUGAUGGAGGGGGAUAACUACUGGAAACGGUAGCUAAUACCGCAUACCAUCAGAUGUGCCCAGAUGGGAUUGGCUAGGUGGUGGGGUAACUGCUCACCAAGGCGACGAUCCCUAGCUGGUCGGAGCGGAGGACCAGCCACAUUGGAACUGAGAAACGGUCCAGACGCUUACGGGAUGAAGCAGGUGGGAAUAUUUCACAAGGGGCGCAAGCCUGAUGCAGCCAUGCCGCGUGUAUGAAGAAGGCCUUCGGGUUGUAAAGUACUUUCAGCGGGGAGGCGUUACCCGCAGAAGAAGCACCGGCUAACUCCGUGCCAGCAGCCGCGGUAAUAC